GGGGAAUAUUGCACAAUGGGGGAAACCCUGAUGCAGCGACGCCGCGUGAGUGAAGAAGUAUUUCGGUAUGUAAAGCUCUAUCAGCAGGGAAGAAAAUGACGGUACCUGACUAAGAAGCCCCGGCUAACUACGUGCCAGCAGCCGCGGUAAUACGUAGGGGGCAAGCGUUAUCCGGAUUUACUGGGUGUAAAGGGAGCGUAGACGGCAGGGCAAGUCUGAAGUGAAAGCCCGGGGCUCAACCCCGGGACUGCUUUGGAAACUGUCCGGCUGGAGUGCAGGAGAGGUAAGUGGAAUUCCUAGUGUAGCGGUGAAAUGCGUAGAUAUUAGGAGGAACACCAGUGGCGAAGGCGGCUUACUGGACUGUAACUGACGUUGAGGCUCGAAAGCGUGGGGAGCAAAC
rnacentral:rRNA from 1 species